CAAAGUUUUCUUUGCAAUUUUUCUAUCUUUUUUCUUAUAGCAUUGGAUGGUGAUGUCUCAUUAUGCAAAAAUUUACAUCUUACCUUCCUCUAAAAAGUACCCUAUAUAUGCCUUAUGGGUUAACCAGAAUCAUAUAAUGUCAAUAUGUUUUUGUCCCCCUUUUCUCCUUAGACUAUUUGCAUAUAAUCUCACUCAAAAUUCAUUCCCUUAGAUGUAGUUUUGAGUUAGAUGCAUGUUUAAUUAUGACAAAGGACGACCAAGGAAUGCUGAAGAAUGCAUAAGAUAUUCACCAUAGUAAAUGGUGAAGGAGAUGGUUUAUUUGUAAAGAAUAUCAUAUAUUUGUGUAUGAAUUUAUGCUAUUACAUUAGCAUUCUCAGCUUCUAUCGCAAUUUAGUUGGAAUUGUCCAUAUGGAUACUUUUGCUCCGUUUUGCUUGGUUUAGGACUAUAUUCUUGGAAAGGUUUGGUGAUAUUAAAAUUUUCUCACUCACUUCACUUGAUGCGAAUCUUGGUUUACCUUUUCUUUUGCUCAUAGGUUGCACCUCUUUUGUGACCUUUAUUUAUUUAUUUAUUUAUU
rnacentral:misc_RNA from 1 species